UGUUGACCUCGGAUCAGGUAGGAAUACCCGCUGAACCUAAGCAUAUC
rnacentral:rRNA from 2 species